rnacentral:rRNA from 1 species
UACGUAGGGUGCAAGCGUUGUCCGGAGUUACUGGGCGUAAAGGGCAUGCAGGCGGUCCGACACGUUUUGUGUGACAGCGGGUGGCUUAACUACCCGAGGAUACGAAAGACGGUUGGACUUGAGGACUCGAGAGGGACACGGAAUUCCGGGUGGAGUGGUGAAAUGCGUAGAGAUCCGGAGGAACACCGAAGGCGAAGGCAGUGUCCUGGCGAGUGACUGACGCUGAGGUGCGAAAGCCAGGGGAGCGAACGGG